GAUGAACGCUGGCGGCGUGCCUAAUACAUGCAAGUCGGGCGAACGGACGAGAAGCUUGCUUCUCUGAUGUUAGCGGCGGACGGGUGAGUAACACGUGGAUAACCUACCUAUAAGACUGGGAUAACUUCGGGAAACCGGAGCUAAUACCGGAUAAUAUUUUGAACCGCAUGGUUCAAAAGUGAAAGACGGUCUUGCUGUCACUUAUAGAUGGAUCCGCGCUGCAUUAGCUAGUUGGUAAGGUAACGGCUUACCAAGGCAACGAUGCAUAGCCGACCUGAGAGGGUGAUCGGCCACACUGGAACUGAGACACGGUCCAGACUCCUACGGGAGGCAGCAGUAGGGAAUCUUCCGCAAUGGGCGAAAGCCUGACGGAGCAACGCCGCGUGAGUGAUGAAGGUCUUCGGAUCGUAAAACUCUGUUAUUAGGGAAGAACAUAUGUGUAAGUAACUGUGCACAUCUUGACGGUACCCAAUCAGAAAGCCACGGCUAACUACGUG
rnacentral:rRNA from 1 species